rnacentral:rRNA from 1 species
GAUGAACGCUAGCGGCAGGCUUAAUACAUGCAAGUCGUGGGGCAGCAGCUUUAUAGCAAUAUAGAGGCUGGCGACCGGCAAACGGGUGCGGAACACGUACUGAACCUUCCUUCAAGUGGGGAAUAGCCCAGAGAAAUUUGGAUUAAUACCCCGUAACAUAUAGAAGGGGCAUCACUUUUAUAUUAAAGCUCCGGCGCUUAAAGAUUGCAGUGCGGCUGAUUAGGUAGUUGGCGGGGUAACGGCCCACCAAGCCUACGAUCAGUAACUGGUGUGAGAGCACGACCAGUCACACGGGCACUGAGACACGGGCCCGACUCCUACGGGAGGCAGCAGUAAGGAAUAUUGGUCAAUGGACGGAAGUCUGAACCAGCCAUGCCGCGUGGAGGAUGAAGGUCCUCUGGAUUGUAAACUUCUUUUAUCUGGGACGAAAAAGGGCUUUUCUAAGUCAACUGACGGUACCAGAUGAAUAAGCACCGGCUAACUCCGUGCCAGCAGCCGCCGUAAGAC